UUUUCCCACCACUAAGCUCCUUUUAACUGCUUUCAUCCAGGCCGACUGCAGAAUGAAAACCACCAACAAAUAUAGUGUGGAGGGUCUUCUUUUUUCGUCUUCUGCAGCGACUUUCAGCCUGUACUGAAGUCGAAUCUCGUUCACUUCGAUCCUCGAGUACUUCACCUCUACUCACAAAAUGUUCUGGGUAGGACUAAAAUACAUGUGCAACGAUUAUAAAUAAAGGGAAGAGAGCUGAAGUGUCUCUUGACAGACAGCAAAAAAAGGAAAAUAUAUCCAAAUAAAGGUUUGCCCAAAUUGACCUGCUUGACCUUUUAAUGUUCCUGUUAUGGGUCAUGGGUGAAAAAUGAAGCUGCAAAAACAUUAGAAACUAAUAAAACAAUUAAAAAGACAUAUUCAACAUCCUUGGAAGUCGAUUACCAAGGUAAAAAAAAAAACAUUUUUGGGGAAUAUGCUAUAAAUUCACAUGAGUUGUGUAUUAUAAUUAUGCUCUCUGGAUAAGCUGACAUUCUAAACAAUCCAAGGCAAUUGAUUUGUAUGGAUUUAUUUGAUUACCAAUUAACAAUCAGCUCUCAACUACAGUCAUUUUGUCACCUGUAGUAACAACAGCGUGUGAAUAUUUCUGUGCCCAACAGUAGGUCUGACACUCAAACUAGACUUAAAUCAUUAGACCUAAGACCUCCACCCACCACGGACACGCACACACACACACACACUGAAUCUCAUCUCGUGGUUGUAAUGUCAGCAUGUGUCUCUAUUCACAGCAUUAAAUGGAGGGAGGUGAUGGAGGCAUCCACACGUGAAAUCUACGAAUUAGCUGUGAAAUUGCUGUAAUUUGCCACCAAUUGUUUAUGACUCAGUACACAUUGUUUUUUUGGGGGGGGCUCCGCUUUUGUCCGUACAAAGGGCUUUCUCAUUAUUAUGGCCUGACUUUUAAAGGGAGAUGUUUUGAGGAUGGAUGCACACACACAUCCACACACACACACACACACACACACACACUCACCAAACAACUAAAUCUAUCUAUCUAUCCUCCGGUCUUGUCACUUCUUUGUCACUCUCGUCAAUGUCCUGACACAUAAUAGAAUCAAAUGCAAUACAAUACAAGACAAUCUGAGCCGUAAAGACUUCUAGUUAGCUGAAAGCUUAAGGGGCUGUAGGCGUCAUCUGGAGUACACAUGAACAAUAUACUGUACGCACACACAGCUUUCUCCGUUCACUCAAGGCCACUGCUGAAUUCUCCAUUUCAUAUGGGAGCUCCAGAUGUCAUGUUUGUGGUUAUUAUGCUGGCACCAACACCAACUUUGUUAAUGUUUCUUUAUGUUGAUAAAGUAUGUUUAAAUAGGACAGUAUCUUUAAUUUUCUGAACUGUUUUCAUCUUUUAUUUUGUUACUAUUCCAGAGGUGUGGAAUUUAUGUUGAGCACAUUUGUUAUUUUAUUUUUGUGGAGUUUUUCCUUAUCUGAACUGAGUGUGUCAUGUUGUUGCUGAUUGUAAUAGCCUCUGACAAAUCUGUGAUUCUGGGAUAUAUUGAAAAAAAUUACUUGACUUGAGGGAGCAAAGGAUGAAGUGAAACACAAGGUUGUUUUCAGAUGGAAAAAAGACAUUCAAGGAUGCAGAGUAUGGGUCCUGGAAACCAGGUCCAUCUCCUAGGAAUCAUGUUCAUACUGGAGGAUUCUUGUACUUGAUUUAUAUCCAGAGUCAAGUUCAGAGCCAAUGCAGGAAGUAGUGAGACAUACAUGCCGGUUUUCCCUCAGGAACUAAGGCAAGCCAGGACUCCCUCACUAUUCAUUAUCACUUUAAUUGUAAUUGUAAUAAUAAAAAAAAAAGAUUUUCUUUGUAACAUAGCAAACACUUGUUUCAUUUUCAUGUCUUCCCCAUUUUUCACUUUUUGGGUUCCCUCAAGGGAGUGAAACAGCGCCCCUCUGGGUUGUAACGGCUGGUAAAUGGCAGCCAGGGUGUGUGGUCAAAAAGGAGAUUGCACCCUUCCUGAAGUCUACCGAAGGGACGCCAGGUGAAAGUUGGCAUCCUUUGAUUAAAAAAUAGUUAAGUAUCAAACAAUCAAAAGCCGCGGCCACUGUAAUGACACUGCUAAACUGUGAACGACUCGUCGCUGGAAAAGAAACCCUGAAGUGAACUGUGAAGCCUGUCACACCCUGACCACACAUAAUAAAAAGUUAACAACAUAAUUUAAAUGAAACAACCGGUGGUUUUCCGUUAGUCGGCUAGCUUCACAGUGAUGCUAACUGCUUUUCAAAGACUGUUAAGCUAGCAGCGACGGAGAGAGGACACGAAGACUUCUGUCAACAAACAAACAAAAUGACUGUCAAACCAUCAGUGGAUACUUCACGAUGGACUGAGACGACAAACGGACCCACCAGCAUGCUGCGGACCCGUGUGCACCUCCAGGACACUCUGAUGCCUUGUCCUUGUCAGUAAAAGUGGCAGCGGGAGAGAGCGGAAAACAAUGUUGUCAAGCGAAAGAGAAGAAGAAAGAGAAAGGCAGAGAAGAAGAAUGAUUGAGGAAGCGAGUCUGGAAGAGAAAGAGAAGAGGAGGAGGAGGAGGAGAGUCUUCUUAGAAGGCUAAAAGGAUUAGUCCU